rnacentral:rRNA from 1 species
AGAUUGAACGCUAGCGGGAUGCUUUACACAUGCAAGUCGAACGGCAGCGCGGACUUCGGUCUGGCGGCGAGUGGCGAACGGGUGAGUAAUAUAUCGGAACGUGCCCAGUAGCGGGGGAUAACUACGCGAAAGCGUGGCUAAUACCGCAUACGCCCUACGGGGGGAAAGGGGGGAUUCUUCGGAACCUCUCACUAUUGGAGCGGCCGAUAUCAGAUUAGCUAGUUGGUGAGGUAAAGCUCACCAAGGCGACGAUCUGUAGCUGGUUUGAGAGGACGACCAGCCACACUGGGACUGAGACACGGCCCAGACUCCUACGGGAGGCAGCAGUGGGAAUUUGGACAAGUCGGGGGAAACCCUGGACUCCAGACCACUCCCGCGUGUCGCGAUGAAGGUCCGUUACGGGUU